rnacentral:rRNA from 1 species
CCCUUAGAUGUCCUGGGCUGCACGCGCGCUACACUGAUGUGUCCAGUAAGCACCUAACCUCUUCCGAAAGGAACGGGUAACCUUUGCAAAGCACAUCGUGAUGGGGAUAGAUUAUUGCAAUUAUUAGUCUUGAACGAGGAAUUCCUAGUAAGCACAAGUCAUCAGCUUGUGUUGAUUACGUCCCUGCCCUUUGUACACACCGCCCGUCGCUCCUACCGAUUGAAUGUUCCGGUGAGCUCUUCGGACUGCGCGGUCUGCAGUUUCUGCGUUCCGUGCGGAAAGAUGCGCAAACCUUAACAUUUAGAGGAAGGAGAAGUCGUAACA